UCCACUACUCAGUUGGUAGAGUAUAAAGCUCUUAACCUUGUGGACGUGGGUUCAAGCCCCAUGGUGGAG
rfam:Triticum aestivum genome assembly, contig: Triticum_aestivum_CS42_TGACv1_scaffold_606355_7DL